CUCUUGGCCCCCUUAAUAUCCAUCCGUUAACCCCGUCAGAUUGGGAACGAAGCAGCGGUCCGCGAUAGUGGAUGUGUUAGGGGUUACCUGGAGGUC
rnacentral:SRP_RNA from 1 species